GUAGGGAAUAUUGGGCAAUGGUCGGAAGACUGACCCAGCCAUGCCGCGUGCAGGAAGACGGCCCUCUGGGUUGUAAACUGCUUUUAUCUGGGAAGAAAAAGGCCAUGCGUGGCAAAUUGCCGGUACCAGAUGAAUAAGCACCGGCUAACUCCGUGCCAGCAGCCGCGGUAAUACGGAGGGUGCGAGCGUUGUCCGGAUUUAUUGGGUUUAAAGGGUGCGUAGGCGGCUGAUUAAGUCAGCGGUGAAAGACUUGGGCUUAACCGGAGCAGUGCCGUUGAUACUGGUUGGCUUGAGUGUCGGAGGGGUACAUGGAAUUGAUGGUGUAGCGGUGAAAUGCAUAGAUACCAUCAGGAACACCGAUAGCGAAGGCAUUGUACUGGCCGACAACUGACGCUGAUGCACGAAAGUGUGGGGAUCGAACAGGAUUAGAAACCCUGGUAGUCC
rnacentral:rRNA from 1 species